rnacentral:rRNA from 1 species
UAUUAUUUUCAAUGUAUUUAAUGAAGGCUGGGGUAGUAGUAGUUAGAUCUUGAAACCCAAAGAAUUUGGCGGUGUUUUAGUCUUUUCAGGGGAAUCUGUCUCGUAAUUGAUGGUACACGAUUAGAUGUACUUAAUUUUGUUGUUGCAGUAUGUAUACCGCCGUCGUAAGAUUGUUUUUUGAGAAUUAGGAUUUUCUUAAUUUUGUAUUAAAGAGUAUGUCAGGUCAAGGUGCAGCUUAUGAUUAAGUGGACGAUGGAUUACAGUAAUUUUAGUUAUUAUGAAUAGUUAUUUUAAGGUUAAACUUGAAGGUGGACUUGAUUGUAAAAUUGAUUUUAAUUUGUUGUUUGAUUUGAGCUCUAAAAUGUGCACAUAUCGCCCGUCGCUCUCGUUAUUAAGAUGAG